GUUAUACAUACAUGACAUAUUGACAUAACUAUAUAUUUUUGGAUUAUUAGUGGUGGAGUUUAUACAUGGGCCAAAUUUACCUGUUUUUUUUUCUGGCCGAGUUAACAUGCACCUCGGUAAGCGGGUAGUUUCUGUAGUAAAUUAUUUUAUGUAGUUGACACAUUGUAAAGAUUAAAAUUGAAAAUGUCUAGUACUUCCCGGGGUAUUUUUAAUAUUUUUAUUAAACAAUCGUUUGAAAAGAAAUAUUAAUUUUAAAGGUGAAUAUUUAUAGUACCUACUACCUAGUACAGUUAAUCAACAUUUUUGUUUAUAUAAUUUAUAGACUUAUAGUAUUAUCAUUAGUAUUAUAGUUAUUAGUACUAUUCACUUAAAUAUUUAAAUGUCAGUUUAUGUAAUUUAACAUUUUUUUAUACUUAAUUUUUGUUUUGUAAUUAAAUCAAAUACGAUAGGUCAAACAAAAUUCCAUAAACGUUUUGAAAAACAUUAUAGCAGUUUGCAUAUGUACCUAUGACACGUGUCUCUGUAAAGCACCUAUGCAAUAUACCAUAUAUAUUAUAUACAUUAUAUAUAACAUUAUACCUAUAGAUAAUGUAUGCUAUAUAAAUCAUAAAUGUGAUGAAAAUGGAAAUCUCUGUUACAUAUUUUCUCUGAAAUUACUCAUCCAAAUUACUUUUAUUUUAUUUUAUUAAAUACAAGUAUACUGUGGAUCAGAUGUUAAGCUUAUUUUUGAUUUUAGAAGUUAAUGAUAAUAGGUUAAUCUACGUAUUCGAGUUAUUAAUUUUUUUAAUAAUCUGAAAAUAUGUAAGUGCAUAAAGAUAUUAUUUUUUUUUCAUCCGUGUUACUAAUUAUUAGUUAUUAUUAGAAAUUAAUAUUUUAGUGAAUAGUAAAGUUUAUGUAGUACAAAACUGUUUUGUUGUUUUAGUUCACGGAAUAUUGAAACUAAUGAGUUGUUGAUUUUUUGGUCCAGAAUGAAAUCCUAAUUUGGGUCGUUCAACAAAAAAAAAAAAAAAAAACCAAAAGAGAAAAAGAAUUUAAAAAAAAAAUGCUGCUAUUAAAUUAUAAAAAAAAAAACAACGAUGGGCUAUUUCAGCUAUGUAAAGCUGAUGUCAGAAAUACCUAUCAUUUCUACAGUAAAUUAGAAAAGCCAAAAAUGUUAUACAUCCACACGCAUUAGCAUUAGGUAAUAGGUUACCAAAUUAACACGAAUGCAUUUUGUACGGGCAACGAAGAGCACAAAGAUAGUUAUAAUAGUAUUAGUAUACUAUAAUAAAAUUGUGUAUAAUAUUAUAUAGUAACAUAUUAUAGGUACAUAAUAUGCUUUCAAGGUGUACCUAUCCAUAUUCGUGUUGUGAAAUAAUGGCCAGUCCUUGAUGAGCAAUGUUGACCUAAAUUAUUUUUGUUAACUAAUACACUAAUAGUCUUUAGUCUUUUGAAGACAGUGAUAAAAUUUUUAAUACAACAAAAUAUGUUACACGUAAACUUUAAAUUUGAGAGAGCAGAAUGUAUAAAACGCAACUACCUACCUAAAUAUUUUGAAAAUACAAUUUACAUUUAAUUGUAAUUUUGUGCGUUUCAGUUAUAAAUACAUUUUUAUGUUUUUAACGUAAUUGUACAUAUUUUUUUUUACAUAUUUUGUGUAUGGUAACGGACGUAUACACAUCCGUGAUAUAUAUUUAUCUGUGUAGGUAUAGACAUAAUAGUAUGCUCAUCACCUAAAAACUGAGUUGUGAGUACAGUUAUUCCAAGCAAUCCAAACAUGAUGAGACAGACUUCUAUAUUACACCAUAUAAGGAACCGGAAUAAUAUUUUGAGGAUUUCCUUAUCAGUGCCCGUCAUUUUGUCGAUUGGCGAAACAUUGAUUAUUUAUCUAUACAUAUAGCUCUACAAAUUGAUUAUUAUUAAUAUUAUUAUGAAAUUAGGUACUAUAGAGUAAUGCCAGUGUCGUGUGUUGCUAAUGGUUACACUAAUAGGUAUCUCGUUGGACAACUAAUAUAUUUUUUCAGAUAUCUUUUAACUAAUGAACUGCUUACUAAGAAAUGGGUUGAUGCUUUAAAAAGAAUAAAAUUUAAACUGUCACAAUCAAGCUGUAUUUGUAAUUUUGUAAUGUCCUCGCUAUAUAGAUAAUCCUUGUUCAGACCAAUCAUUAGAAAACAGAAUUAGCUUCUUCUUUUUGUAACAGUUGUUAUAAAGAAGUUCAAACUAUUUCACCUAGUACAAAUGAAGUAAUGUUGAAAAAUAAAAUAAAAGUUGAGACGGCGGAAGAUUAAAAUCGAUAAUUUAUUCAAUUUUCUCAAGAUCUUAACAAACAAAGGAUUUAUGGAUGAAGAAUUUAAUAAUUUCAUAACAAAUAAUUUUGAUGUUAAAUUUUAAGCUUGCCAGAUCCAUCUUCAAUCACUAGCUGGACAUCAUCUGUAAAUGCAGAACCAGGGUUUUUCCAAGAAGUUCUUCGAUUACAUGAAAAAUGUUUUUUAGCUGAUGUCUUAGAAUUGUUCAAUCAUCUUAAAUCUCCUGAAUUUAAAAACAGUCAAGUCAAAUAAUUUAUUAUUUUACUAUAAUUAUUUCUCUAAUUUGUUAAAUAUUCCACUAGUAGGCCAAAAAGCAAUCAUCAUUUUAAGAACAAUUGACUAGAUAUUUGAUUUUUUGAAUUCUCAAAAUCCAUUCUAUGAAAGAUUUAAAAGGCCAAUGGAUUUAAAUUUAUUUGAAUGACAUAAAAAAACGAAAAUCUUUUAUUCUUCCUUCACUAGAAAAUUUGUUAAAAUUGAUUGAUGUUAAAGUCACACUUUUUUUUCUACUCCCAGAAAGACCUUUAUGAUUGAUAAAGUGAUAAACAAUUCAACUAUUCAAUAAUGUUUUUUUUAUUUAUUGCUAUCAUAUGAAUAAUUUUUAACAAAAUUUUUUUAUUGGUUAUUAGGUUUUGUAGUUGCUGUUAAAUCAAUUUUUAGUAUUGCCCAUGAACUCUGUGAAACUUCUAAGUACAAAUAUUUACUCACAUACAAAUUUUCCCAAAAUCACAUUGAAUUAUUUUUUUCAAAAAUUCGACAACGUUUUGAAAAUAACAAUCCUAACAUAAUAGAGUUUAAAAUAGCAAUGAAAUAAUUAUUACUUAAAAAUUCAGAUUCAUUGUCUUAUGUUGCUAACUGCAUUGUUAUGGACAGUGUAAAUACUGAAAGUAUUUUUGAAAUUCAUUAGGCUAAAAAAAAAAAAGAA